rnacentral:tRNA from 1 species
ACCUAGCUGGCUCAGUCAGUAGAGCGUGCAACUCUUGAUUGCAGGGUUGUGAGUUCAAGCCCCACUUUGGGGU